GACGAACGCUGGCGGCGUGCUUAACACAUGCAAGUCGAACGGAAAGGCCCCUUUGGGGGUACUCGAGUGGCGAACGGGUGAGUAACACGUGAGUAACCUGCCCUUGACUUCGGGAUAACUUCAGGAAACUGGGGCUAAUACCGGAUAGGAAUCCUUGCUGCAUGGGGGGGGUUGGAAAGCUUCGGCGGUUUUGGAUGGACUCGCGGCUUAUCAGCUUGUUGGUGGGGUAGUGGCUUACCAAGGCUUUGACGGGUAGCCGGCCUGAGAGGGCGACCGGCCACAUUGGGACUGAGAUACGGCCCAGACUCCUACGGGAGGCAGCAGUGGGGAAUAUUGCACAAGGGGCGGAAGCCUGAUGCAGCAACGCCGCGUGCGGGAUGACGGCCUUCGGGUUGUAAACCGCUUUCAGCAGGGGCGAAGCUUGUGGUGACGGUACCUGCAGAAGAAGCACCGGCUAACUACGUG
rnacentral:rRNA from 1 species